rnacentral:rRNA from 1 species
AGCGAACGUUUGCGGCGGGCCUAACACAUGCAAGUCGAACGGGCUGUCCUUCGGGCGAGUCAGUGGCGCACGGGUGCGUAACACGUAGGUAAUCAACCCUCGGGUUCGGGAGUAACACUGCGAAAGAGGUGCUAAUACCGGAUGCGACGGUCAGCUCUUCGGAGUUGGUCGGGAAAGAUCCGCAAGGAUUGCCCGAGGACGAGCCUGCGGCCCAUCAGCUUGUUGGUGAGGUAAAAGACUCACCAAGGCUAAGACGGGUAGCUGGUCUGAGAGGAUGAUCAGCCACACUGGAACUGAGACACGGUCCAGACUCCUACGGGAGGCAGCAGUGGGGAAUAUUGCGCAAUGGACGAAAGUCUGACGCAGCCACGCCGCGUGAGCGAUGAAGGCCCUCGGGUCGUAAAGCUCUGUGGGGAGAGAAGAAUAAAGCCGGUGAAGAGCCGGCCCUGACGGGUAUCUCCUUAGCAAGCACCGGCUAACUCCGUGCCAG